rnacentral:rRNA from 1 species
UACGUAGGGGGCGAGCGUUGUCCGGAUUUAUUGGGCGUAAAGCGCACGUAGGCGGCUUCUUAAGUCAGGGGUGAAAUCCUGGAGCUCAACUCCAGAACUGCCUUUGAUACUGGGAAGCUUGAGUCCGGGAGAGGUGAGUGGAACUCCGAGUGUAGAGGUGAAAUUCGUAGAUAUUCGGAAGAACACCAGUGGCGAAGGCGGCUCACUGGCCCGGUACUGACGCUGAGGUGCGAAAGCGUGGGGAGCAAACAGG